AACGAUCUUUGGCUUCAUCACAAGUCAACCAGGAAGUUCAAGAGAAUCAAGGCCAAGAUCUGGAUGCUCCUAUAUGCAACUGGCAAUGGCUGACUCCCGUGGGAUGGAAGAAGAUAUUAUGACCUCCUAGUAAUGUCUACCAUGGAAGUCAUACCUGGAAGAAGGAGACAGGAGAGAAGGCCACCUACAGAACACUAUUUACUGGUCAACAAACUGUGAAAGAUUUACAAGGUCUCAAUCACCUCAUGGCCACCGUAUUCUAAGGCUCCACGGGAAAAUGGUUAAGGAUGAUGCACCUAACUCUCAGCUUCCCUUCUGCAUCCACAGUGUCAUCAAGGAACUGAUGAAUGACACACUAAACUAGAUAUGCAGCAAAUGAGACCAGGAAGAUGGGAAGAGGCAAAGGCUUUAGCUAUACAAACCUGAGGACUCCACGUCUACCCCAAAACCCAUGUAAAAAGCCAGACAUGAUGGCACACAUCUGUAAACCUAGCAAUCCUGCAUCGAGAUGAAAGGCAGGGACGGAAUCACCCAGAAGUUCAUGGGCUAGCUAACUCAGAGUGCACCAGAGUAUUCAUGUUUUAUCAUAGAGAAAAAAAGCAAAUAUAAAUCAGCAUGAAAAAGACCCAACAAAUGCACAGACCAACAUGAAACACAAAUGACUCCAACAUAAAGACACUCAUCACACACGGCAAAGACAUGAGAGACACCACUUUCAUCAUGCAGAUGAGAAAUUACCAACCAUGACAGCACACCAUGUAGCUGAGGGUCAGGGAAAACAGGAGCUCUCAUACUCUCAAUUAAAUUGAUGAAUCUUCUCUGAGAGCAAUGUAGAAUAUCAAAUUAGAGAUGAGCAAGGUUCACAAUGAGACGUUUGAAGAAUCUGUGCCUGUGUCAAACAAACAUGAGGAACUCUCAGGAUGAACAUAUGUGCGCUCGCCAACAGCAUCAUAUAAAAUGAUGAAAGAGAGACCUAACUGUCAGCAAGGUGCCAGUUACAACAUACAGCAGA